rnacentral:rRNA from 1 species
GAUGAACGCUGGCGGCGUGCUUAACACAUGCAAGUCGAACGAAGCACUUUAUUUGAUUUCCUUCGGGACUGAUUAUUUUGUGACUGAGUGGCGGACGGGUGAGUAACGCGUGGGUAACCUGCCUUGUACAGGGGGAUAACAGUUGGAAACGGCUGCUAAUACCGCAUAAGCGCACAGCAUCGCAUGAUGCAGUGUGAAAAACUCCGGUGGUAUAAGAUGGACCCGCGUUGGAUUAGCUAGUUGGUGAGGUAACGGCCCACCAAGGCGACGAUCCAUAGCCGACCUGAGAGGGUGACCGGCCACAGUGGGACUGAGACACGGCCCAAACUCCUACGGGAGGCAGCAGUGGGGAAUAUUGCACAAUGGGCGAAAGCCUGAUGCAGCGACGCCGCGUGAGCGAAGAAGUAUUUCGGUAUGUAAAGCUCUAUCAGCAGGGAAGAUAAUGACGGUACCUGACUAAGAAGCACCGGCUAAAUACGUG